AAGGAUCAAGUUCACCAAAUAGAAUGAGCCCAAGAAAAUCACCAAAACAAAAAAUAUCAUGUAUGUUUUUCCUGCAGCACGUAGUGUCUAGAGAAAGAAAAAAAAAGUGUAGAUAACAUCUCAUGAUACAAGUCUGCUGACUACUGUUGAUCUAUUGACCUCAUCUCUCAUACAAAUAUACCCUGAUGCCACUUUUAAAUAAAUCAGAAUACAUGAUAAAUAA